GGAUAGCUAACGUACCUUUAACCGGGGCAUAGCCAGUCGAAAGAUUGGGUAAUUCCCUAUAAAGUCAUUAGGCAGCAUUGUUUGAUGACCAAAGAUGAGGACCGCAAGGCUUAUCGGUUUUAGAGCGGGCUAUCUCCUAUCAGCUAGUUGGUGUGGUAACGGCGCACCAAGGCUAUGACGGGUAGCUGGUCUGAGAGGACGACCAGCCACAUUGGCACUGAGGCACUGGCCAGACUCCUACGGGGGCUGCAGCAACGAAUCUUCCCCAAUGGGCGAAAGCCUGAGGGAGCGACGCCGCGU
rnacentral:rRNA from 1 species